UGUAAGCUGAACUGUACUGAACUGAACGCAUACUUUUGGCUCUUCUCCACUGUAUCGUUGUAUUAGUAUUAUUCUAUUUGAUAAUCGGGAAACUAGCGCUAAGGACUAUGUUAAUUUAUUAUAUAAAAAGGAGGACCAACCUACCAGGAAGUCUAUGGGGUCGUCAGGACGUAUUCUACAGCAUUCGAUGAGCCCUUGGGUGAGAGUGGGCAUCACAUCCCUCAUAAGUGCUCUUCCCAACAGCAGGUGGUCCCAGGAUGCAGAUACGAAGGGGCUGGGACACAUAUAAACAGAGAUACGUUGCGUCAAUACGAAGGUUGACAAGCAAAGAAUCAAUAUCUGUUUGCUGCAGAAAGUGGGAAAAAAGUCAAUACAAAACCAAAACUGUACAGUACUGGUAAUGUUUACUGUAGUAUGUCAG